rnacentral:tRNA from 1 species
GCCGAUGUAGCUCAGCCGGUAGAGCGUCUCCAUGGUAAGGAGAAGGUCCGCGGUUCGAUCCCGCGCAUCGGCU